AGGACGAACGCUGGCGGCGUGCUUAACACAUGCAAGUUGAACGGGACGGAUAUUGAAGCGACUUUUCGGAGUGGUGGAUAUAUUGUUUAGUAGCGGACGGGUGAGUAAUGCACGAGAACCUGCCCUUCAGAGGGGGACAACAGUUGGAAACGGCUGCUAAUACCCCAUAUGCCGAGAGGUGAAAGGGGCGAUCCGCUGAAGGAGAGGCUCAUGUCCUAUCAGCUAGUUGGUGAGGUAAGUGCUCACCAAGGCGAUGACGGGUAGCCGGCCUGAGAGGGCGACCGGCCACACUGGAACUGAGAUACGGUCCAGACUCCUACGGGAGGCAGCAGUGGGGAAUAUUGGGCAAUGGGCGGAAGCCUGACCCAGCGACGCCGCGUGAGGGAAGAAGGCCUUUGGGUCGUAAACCUCUGUUGUAUGGGAAGAAGGAAGUGACGGUACCAUACGAGGAAGUCCCGGCUAACUACGUGCCAGCCGCGGC
rnacentral:rRNA from 1 species